rnacentral:rRNA from 1 species
GAUGAACGCUAGCGGCAGGCCUAAUACAUGCAAGCUGAACGGUAAAUAUUGUAGCAAUACGAUAUGAGAGUAGCGUAAGGGUGCGUAACACGUAUGCAAUCUGCCCUGUACAGGAGGAUAGCUCGGCGAAAGCCGGAUUAAUACUCCGUAAUAUUAUUGAGAGGCAUCUCUUGAUAAUUAAAGUCGCAAGACGGUAUAGGAUGAGCAUGCGUCUGAUUAGCUAGUUGGUGGUGUAACGGACCACCAAGGCGAUGAUCAGUAGGGGAACUGAGAGGUUGAUCCCCCGACACUGGCACUGAGAUACGGGCCAGACUCCUACGGGAGGCAGCGUAGGGAAUNUUGGUCAAUGGAUGCAAGUCUGAACCAGCCAUGCCGCGUGCAGGAAGACGGCCUUCUGGGUUGUAAACUGCUUUGCCGGGGGAUAAAAUGUCCAUGCGUGGACCAUUGAAGGUACCCGGUGAAUAAGCCACGGCUAACUACGUGCCAGCAGCCGCGGUAAUACGUAGGUGGCGAGCG